rnacentral:rRNA from 1 species
AGAGUUUGAUCCUGGCUCAGAACGAACGCUGGCGGCGUGGAUAAGACAUGCAAGUCGAACGAAGAAUCUUAAUAGCUUGCUAAUGAGAUUCUUAGUGGCGGACGGGUUAGUAACACGUGAGAUACCUACCCUUUAGACAGGAAUAGCCCAUGGAAACGUGGAUUAAUGCCUAAUAGUCUCUACGGAGUAAAUGAUGCCUUCGGGUGUCGUUAAAGGAUGGGCUCGCAGCCUAUCAGUUUGUUGGUGAGGUAAAAGCUCACCAAGACUACGACGGGUAGCUGGUCUGAGAGGACGAUCAGCAACACUGGAACUGAGACACGGUCCAGACACCUACGGGUGGCAGCAGUCGAGAAUCAUUCACAAUGGAGGAAACUCUGAUGGUGCAACGCCGCGUGGAGGAUGACGGCCCUAGGGUUGUAAACUCCUGUCAUUGGGGAGUAAGACUUAUGCGUUAAUAGCGUGUAAGUUUGAUAGUACCCAAAGAGGAAGGGACGGCUAACUUCGUGCCAGCAGCCGCGGUAAUACGAAGGUCCCAAGCGUUGUUCGGAAUAACUGGGCGUAAA